rnacentral:rRNA from 1 species
GACAGAGGGUGCAAACGUUGUUCGGAAUUACUGGGCGUAAAGCGCGCGUAGGCGGUUACUUAAGUUGGAUGUGAAAGCCCUCGGCUUAACCGAGGAAGUGCAUCCAAAACUGAGUAGCUAGAGUACGAAAGAGGGUCGCGGAAUUCCCGGUGUAGAGGUGAAAUUCGUAGAUAUCGGGAGGAACACCGGUGGCGAAGGCGGCGACCUGGGUCGAGACUGACGCUGAGGCGCGAAAGCGUGGGGAGCAAACAGGG